rnacentral:rRNA from 1 species
AUUGAACGCUAGCGGGAUGCUUUACACAUGCAAGUCGAACGGCAGCGCGGACUUCGGUCUGGCGGCGAGUGGCGAACGGGUGAGUAAUGUAUCGGAACGUGCCCAGUAGCGGGGGAUAACUACGCGAAAGCGUAGCUAAUACCGCAUACGCCCUACGGGGGAAAGCAGGGGAUCGUGAGACCUUGCACUAUUGGAGCGGCCGAUAUCGGAUUAGCUAGUUGGUGAGGUAACGGCUCACCAAGGCGACGAUCCGUAGCUGGUUUGAGAGGACGACCAGCCACACUGGGACUGAGACACGGCCCAGACUCCUACGGGAGGCAGCAGUGGGGAAUUUUGGACAAUGGGGGCAACCCUGAUCCAGCCAUCCCGCGUGUGCGAUGAAGGCCUUCGGGUUGUAAAGCACUUUUGGCAGGAAAGAAACGUCGCGGGCUAAUACCCCGUGGAACUGACGGUACCUGCAGAAUAAGCACCGGCUAACUACGUG